UGCGUAGGGAGCAAGCGUUGUCCGGAAUCAUUGGGCGUAAAGCGCGCGUAGGUGGCCCCAUAAGUCCGCUGUGAAAGUCAAAGGCUCAACCUUUGAAAGCCGGUGGAUACUGUGGGACUAGAGUACGGAAGAGGCGAGUGGAAUUCCUGGUGUAGCGGUGGAAUGCGCAGAUAUCAGGAGGAACACCAAUAGCGAAGGCAGCUCGCUGGGACGUUACUGACACUGAGGCGCGAAAGCGUGGGGAGCGAACAGG
rnacentral:rRNA from 1 species